rnacentral:rRNA from 1 species
UACGAAGGGGGCUAGCGUUGUUCGGAAUUACUGGGCGUAAAGCGCACGUAGGCGGACAUUUAAGUCAGGGGUGAAAUCCCAGAGCUCAACUCUGGAACUGCCUUUGAUACUGGGUGUCUAGAGUAUGGAAGAGGUGAGUGGAAUUCCGAGUGUAGAGGUGAAAUUCGUAGAUAUUCGGAGGAACACCAGUGGCGAAGGCGGCUCACUGGCCCGGUACUGACGCUGAGAUACGAAAGCGUGGGGAGCAAACAGG